AGUGAACGCUGGCGGUAGGCCUAACACAUGCAAGUCGAACGGCAGCACAGUAAGAGCUUGCUCUUACGGGUGGCGAGUGGCGGACGGGUGAGGCAUACAUCGGAUUCUACUUUUUCGUGGGGGAUAACGUAGGGACACUUACGCUAAUACCGCAUACAACCUACGGGUGAAAGCAGUGGAUAUUCGGACCUUGCGCGAUUGAUUGAGCCGAUGUCGUAUUAGCUAGUUGGCGGGGUAAAGGCCCACCAAGGCGACGAUCCGUAGCUGAUCUGAGAGGAUGAUCGGCCACACUGGAACUGAGACACGGUCCAGACUCCUACGGGAGGCAGCAGUGGGGAAUAUUGGACAAUGGGCGAAAGCCUGAUCCAGCAAUACCGCGUGGGUGAAGAAGGCCUUCGGAUUGUAAAGCCCUUUUAUUGGGAAAGAAAAGCAGCAGAAGAAUACCCCGCUGUUCUGACGGUACCCAAAGAAUAAGCACCGGCUAACUACGUG
rnacentral:rRNA from 1 species